UACGUAGGGUGCGAGCGUUAAUCGGAAUUACUGGGCGUAAAGCGUGCGCAGGCGGUUCGUUAAGUUCGUUGUGAAAGCCCCGGGCUCAACCUGGGAACUGCAAUGGAAACUGGCGGGCUUGAAUGCGGCAGAGGGGGGUGGAAUUCCGCGUGUAGCAGUGAAAUGCGUAGAUAUGCGGAGGAACACCGAUGGCGAAGGCAAUCCCCUGGGCCUGCACUGACGCUCAUGCACGAAAGCGUGGGGAGCAAACAGG
rnacentral:rRNA from 1 species